GGUGAUAUAGCUCAGUGGUAGAGCACUUGCCUAGCAUUCAUGAAGGCCUGGGUUCCAUCCCCAGGACCCACCC
rnacentral:tRNA from 1 species